rnacentral:rRNA from 1 species
GACGAACGCUGGCGGCGUGCCUAAUACAUGCAAGUUGAGCGAUGAAGAUUGGUGCUUGCACCAAUUUGAAGAGCAGCGAACGGGUGAGUAACGCGUGGGGAAUCUGCCUUUGAGCGGGGGACAACAUUUGGAAACGAAUGCUAAUACCGCAUAACAACUUUAAACAUAAGUUUUAAGUUUGAAAGAUGCAAUUGCAUCACUCAAAGAUGAUCCCGCGUUGUAUUAGCUAGUUGGUGAGGUAAAGGCUCACCAAGGCGAUGAUACAUAGCCGACCUGAGAGGGUGAUCGGCCACAUUGGGACUGAGACACGGCCCAAACUCCUACGGGAGGCAGCAGUAGGGAAUCUUCGGCAAUGGACGAAAGUCUGACCGAGCAACGCCGCGGGAGUGAAGAAGGUUGUCGGAUCGUAAAACUCUGUUGGUAGAGAAGAACGUUGGUGAGAGUGGAAAGCUCAUCAAGUGACGGUAACUACCCAGAAAGGGACGGCUAACUACGCG